GAUGAAUCUAUUGUUUGCCAAGCCCGCGGGUUACCGCCAGCGGGGGAGGGCAGCGAAAAGAGGAGUCA
rfam:Comamonadaceae bacterium CG2_30_60_41 cg2_3.0_scaffold_4397_c, whole genome shotgun sequence.